UNUAGGACAUGCCUUGCAUGGCAGGCUCCCCGCACGUACGUGCGGCCAACUGUCAUGGGGCUGUCUUNUCAGUGUCCCUUCGUUUAUCCGUUUUGGUCGCUUGGGGUGCCUCGGAUUUGGUUGCCUGUGCGGUCUUACCGUAGUCGGUAGCACAAUUGUCCCGCUGUUGCGUAAUGCGCUCGCUCCGUCGAUGCAUGGGCAUCGAUGGGGGGCCGAGGUGUUGGCAAAUUCCGUGCGCCGCGAUGCACUUUGUGUGUCUGAGAGUCCCGACUUAUCGGAUGAUUGCCGGGUCUCACGGAUAUCAGUCCCUACGUUGAGCGGUCUGCGGCCGUSNNGNNCGCAGCCUCAUGNUGUUGCCCACGCGCAUGAAUUUGUNGCCGANGUUUCCUNGACGUGUUGUGUUCCUCCGGGACUCGUGUUGAGGAAACAUCGGCGACAAAUUUGUGUGCGSGCGCAUAUCCUCACCGACCCGAAUGAUACGCGAUUGCCNGUCCGCAUNGUCNCNGGGNG
rnacentral:misc_RNA from 1 species